rnacentral:rRNA from 1 species
AUUGAACGCUGGCGGCAGGCUUAACACAUGCAAGUCGAGCGGGGAAAGGUAGCUUGCUACCUGACCUAGCGGCGGACGGGUGAGUAAUGCUUAGGAAUCUGCCUAUUAGUGGGGGACAACAUUCCGAAAGGAAUGCUAAUACCGCAUACGCCCUACGGGGGAAAGCAGGGGAUCUUCGGACCUUGCGCUAAUAGAUGAGCCUAAGUCAGAUUAGCUAGUUGGUGGGGUAAAGGCCUACCAAGGCGACGAUCUGUAGCGGGUCUGAGAGGAUGAUCCGCCACACUGGGACUGAGACACGGCCCAGACUCCUACGGGAGGCAGCAGUGGGGAAUAUUGGACAAUGGGCGCAAGCCUGAUCCAGCCAUGCCGCGUGUGUGAAGAAGGCCUUUUGGUUGUAAAGCACUUUAAGCGAGGAGGAGGCUACUUGGAUUAAUACUCUAGGAUAGUGGACGUUACUCGCAGAAUAAGCACCGGCUAACUCUGUGCCAGCCGCCGCAGUAAAAC